ensembl:lncRNA novel transcript
AUUAUUGUACCUCAUGGAUUUCCAGUGUGAUGCUGAAUAAAAGUGAUGAGAGAGAACACAUUUGUCUUCUUCCUGAUCUUAGGGAUAAAGCAUUCAUUCAUUCUCACCAGAAUGGAGUGAAGACAUUGUAAGACCAAGGACAAGAACACACUGUUACAAACAAAAAGACACCCUUAAAAUGUGACACGAACAGGUUUUAUCCCUGCCAAGAAAUAUUUUCUGAAUUCCUAGAUUGAUUAAAUGGUCCUUCUCUGUGCUCUCAUAAUAUCCUUACUUACAUCUGUUUUAUCACUUACAAUAUUUUAUUGAAAUUAUCUGUUCAUGUGCGUAUUUCCUCCAGUAGACAAUAAACUCCUUAACUCCAGGAA